rnacentral:lncRNA from 10 species
AGAACUGUAACACUCACCGCGAGGGUUGGCGGCUUCAUUCUUGAAGUCAGUGAGACCAAGAACCCAGCACUUGAGACCAAGAACCCACCAAUUCCGGACACAAUUUGACCUAAGCUGAAGGCAGCAAUCCCAGGUGCAUCUGUCCCUCCAGUCACAGAUAAGUUUGUAAGCCUCAUAAUGUUCUGGAUAGAAAUCUCCUUCAUAGAGUGAAUGGAUCAAGAUGAUGGAGGCAGGAGCUCUAGGUUCAGAAUAUGUUGUCUUUGGAGACGACAGCAGUGCUGGACUUCUUCUGGCUCAAUUGCAGAAGAUUGAUUUUUU